rnacentral:rRNA from 1 species
GACAGAGGGUGCAAACGUUGUUCGGAUUUACUGGGCGUAAAGAGCGUGUAGGCGGCUAGAUAGGUCCGUUGUGAAAACUCGAGGCUCAACCUCGAGACGUCGAUGGAAACCAUCUAGCUAGAGUCCGGAAGAGGAGAGUGGAAUUCCUGGUGUAGCGGUGAAAUGCGCAGAUAUCAGGAGGAACACCGGUGGCGAAGGCGGGUCUCUGGGCCGAUACUGACGCUGAGGAGCGAAAGCUAGGGGAGCAAACGGG